rnacentral:lncRNA from 1 species
CAGCAAACAACUACACUGGCUGAUCAAAAGGGAAGUGACAUCAGAGAACAAAGAGUCAACAGGACAAAGGACCUUAUGAAUGUGCUUUCUAUUGUUCUUCCCCUUAUAAAAAUGUAGGUAUUGUGUGCAAAAAGGAUCCAUAUUGAAGAAAAAGGAACUAUGGGUGGAGGACGUUACACUUUUCAGGUGCAAGAGGAACAGUAGAAAGAGGACCAUGACUCAGGACUACCUGGCUUGACGACUCCUGGCUGUUCCUGUCCCCAGUCCACCUGGUCGUGCUGCUGAUCCAGUUUCUUCUGUUCUGCCUGCGGCUAUGGAACCCUGACCUGUUCACCGGAUCUGCUACCUUGUCCAGGACAUGCUGUUUCAAGCCUCCCCACAUGAAAAAAAAAUAAAUUUUAUACUAUGGCAUAAAUACUAUAGUAUUUAUGGGAACACAGGCCUCCCAUGUGGUGCAGUGGUCUAAGGCACUGCAUCGCAGUGCUAGCUGUGCCGCUAGAGAUCCUGGUUCGAGUCCAGGCUCUGUCGUGACCGGGAGACCCAUGGGGUGGCGCACAAUUGUCCCAGCGUUGUCUGGGUUAGGGGAAGGUUUGGCUGGCAGGGAUCUUCUUGUCCCAUCAUGCACUAGCGACUCCUGUGACAGGCCGGGCAUAAUAUAUGCUGACACAGUCGCCAGGUGUACGGUGGUUCCUCCGACACAUUGGUGCGGCUGGCUUCUUGGUUAAACUGUCAUGUUUCUGCGGACUGUAGUGUUUUUGUGGACAUUACUGUAGUAUUUCAUAAUUUUUUGGGAUAAUACUGUAAUAUUUACUAUCGAAGAUAUGGGCAACUUUGAUUGGCGUGGGGGUCACAGAAAAUCUGAACUCAUCAUGAGGGGCCACAGUGGAUCAUAGAUCUGUGUACCCACAUCCAGUCAAACCCUCCCUCUUGACAGUGGAGAGAAAAAUAUGUAGAUUUAGAGUUCAUUUCCUGGAAUUCUAUACAUUUUGCCACAGGGUGGAGAGAAAUGUUUGCCAUGACAGUGACUAACAAAAUCAAUUGGGGCCCGCGGUCGGUAAUUCAACC